AUUGAACGCUGGCGGCAGGCCUAACACAUGCAAGUCGAACGAGUGGCGGACGGGUGAGUAAUGUCUGGGAAACUGACUGAUGGAGGGGGAUAACUACUGGAAACGGUAGCUAAUACCGCAUACCAUCGGAUGUGCCCAGAUGGGAUUAGAUAGUAGGUGGGGUAAAGGCUCACCUAGGCGACGAGCCCUAGCUGGUCUGAGAGGAUGACCAGCCACACUGGAACUGAGACACGGCCCAGAUUCCUACGGGGGGCAGCGUUGGGGCAUAGGGCCCAAUGGGCGCAAGCCUGAUGCAGCCAGGCCGCUUGUAUGAAGAAGGCCUUCGGGUUGUAAAGUACUUGCAGCGGGGAUGCGUUACCCGCAGAAGAAGCACCGGCUAACUCCGUGCCAGCAGCCGCGGUAAUAC
rnacentral:rRNA from 1 species